AACGGGCUCUUCGGAGCUAGUGGCGGACGGGUGAGUAACGCGUGAGGAUCUGCCCUUAGGACGGGGACAACAGCUGGAAACGGCUGCUAAUACCCGAUGUGCCGAGAGGUGAAACUAUUUGGCCUGAGGAUGAGCUCGCGUCUGAUUAGCUAGUUGGAGUGGUAACGGCACACCAAGGCGACGAUCAGUAGCUGGUCUGAGAGGAUGAUCAGCCACACUGGGACUGAGACACGGCCCAGACUCCUACGGGAGGCAGCAGUGGGGAAUUUUCCGCAAUGGGCGAAAGCCUGACGGAGCAAGACCGCGUGCGGGAGGAAGGUCUAUUGAUUGUAAACCGCUUUUGAUAGGGAAGAAGAUCUGACGGUACCUAUCGAAUCAGCAUCGGCUAACUCCGUGCCAGCAGCCGCGGUAAUACGGGGGAUGCAAGCGUUAUCCGGAAUUAUUGGGCGUAAAGCGUCCGUAGGUGGUUUUAAAAGUCUGUUGUCAAAUCGCGAGGCUUAAACUCGUACAGGCAGUGGAAACUAUAAGACUAAAGUGCGGUAGGGGUAGAGGGAAUUUCCAGU
rnacentral:rRNA from 1 species